rnacentral:lncRNA from 1 species
AAGUUUUCUAUUUAGCGUGAUUCCUAACUUUAUAUAUACGGGAUGAAAAUACAGAGAAUUUGUGUGCUCUAUUUUCUCUAUUUGGUUCACCAUAUGGGAACAAUGGUUUCCUCUAGCUAUUUGGUUCACCAUAUGGGAAUGGUGGUUUCCUCUAGAGAGAGAGGCGGGCAGGACCUCAUGUGCAUAAGAUGCAAAAUUUCCUCUCAGAGAAAAAUUAACUUCCUAUGAAGAGAAACUUUGGGAUGGUUUCUCUAAGAGAGAAAUUAGUUUCCUAUGUAGAGAAACUUUGGGAUGGUGCCUUUGGUAGACUCCUCAACAUUGAGAGGUUGGUUUUU